GAUGAACGCUGACAGAAUGCUUAACACAUGCAAGUCUUUGGCGAAGCUGUGCUUGCACAGCCUAGCCAAGGCGGACGGGUGAGUAACGCGUAAGGAACUUGCCCUGCAGUCAGGGAUAACAGACGGAAACGACUGAUAAGACCUGGUAAAGUCAGGCGGACUCAUGUCCAGCCUGAUGAAAAGAGAUGCUGCAGGAGAGCCUUGCGUCCUAUUAGCUUGUUGGUGGGGUAACGGCCCACCAAGGCGAUGAUAGGUAGCCGGCCUGAGAGGUUGGACGGCCAAAAGGGGAAUGAGAUACGGCCCUUACUACUACGGGAGGCAGGAGUGGGGAAUAUUGGACAAUGGGGGCAACCCUGAUCCAGCAAUUCUGUGUGCAAGAUGAAGGUUUUCGGAAUGUAAAGUGCUUUCAGCAGGGAAGAAAAAAAUGACGGUACCUGCAGAAGAAGCGACGGCUAAAUACGUG
rnacentral:rRNA from 1 species